rnacentral:lncRNA from 1 species
UUACUAAUCAUCAUUCUUCACCGCGUUAGCACUUGUUUACAUUAAUUUUUAAAAAAUUCUACUCGUUCAUUUCAUAACAUCGCACCCAUAAUCUCAACCCAUAAUACAAGUUUUAGGUGCGCGCUCUUCUUAUAUUAGCUCUUUCAAUUACUUUUCCUCAACUUACACGUUCACGGUGCAACUUUUCUUUUUUUGCACUUUUCAAUUCAACGCAGGAGCAUACUUAAUAUUACUAGUUCACCGCGUUAAACUUCUCAAGUGAACCGUUUUACCUUCACAAUCUU